ACUCCUACGGGAGGCAGCAGUGGGGAAUAUUGCACAAUGGGCGCAAGCCUGAUGCAGCCAUGCCGCGUGUAUGAAGAAGGCCUUCGGGUUGUAAAGUACUUUCAGCAGUGAGGAAGGUGGAUAUGUUAAUAGCAUAUUCAUUUGUACGUUAGCUGCAGAAGAAGCACCGGCUAACUCCGUGCCAGCAGCCGCGGUAAUACGGAGGGUGCGAGCGUUAAUCGGAAUUACUGGGCGUAAAGCGCAUGCAGGUGGUUUGUUAAGUCAGAUGUGAAAGCCCGGGGCUCAACCUCGGAAUUGCAUUUGGAAACUGGCAAACUAGAGUACUGUAGAGGGGGGUAGAAUUUCAGGUGUAGCGGUGAAAUGCGUAGAGAUCUGAAGGAUACCGGUGGCGAAGGCGGCCCCCUGGACAGAUACUGACACUCAGAUGCGAAAGCGUGGGGAGCAAACAGGAUUAGGAUACCCUGGUAGGCUCU
rnacentral:rRNA from 1 species